rnacentral:rRNA from 2 species
UACGUAGGGUGCAAGCGUUGUCCGGAAUUAUUGGGCGUAAAGAGCUCGUAGGCGGUCUGUCGCGUCGGCUGUGAAAACUCGGGGCUCAACCCCGAGCCUGCAGUCGAUACGGGCAGACUAGAGUGCUGUAGGGGAGACUGGAAUUCCUGGUGUAGCGGUGAAAUGCGCAGAUAUCAGGAGGAACACCGGUGGCGAAGGCGGGUCUCUGGGCAGUAACUGACGCUGAGGAGCGAAAGCGUGGGGAGCGAACAGG